rnacentral:rRNA from 1 species
UACGGGGGGGGCAAGCGUUGUUCGGAAUUACUGGGCGUAAAGGGCUCGCAGGCGGCCGACUAAGUCAGACGUGAAAUCCCUUGGCUUAACCAAGGAAUGGCGUCUGAUACUGGACGGCUUGAAUUCGGGAGAGGGAUGUGGAAUUCCAGGUGUAGCGGUGAAAUGCGCAGAUAUCAGGAGGAACACCGAUGGCGAAGGCAGCUCGCUGGGACGGUACUGACGCUGAGACGCGAAAGCGUGGGGAGCGAACAGG